GCCCUGGGGUGCUUGCCAGUCGACAAGUCCUUGAGCCGAUAAUCUGUAACCUGGAGGGUAACAGUCUGUACGGUGUGCAAGUCCGCGUGACGGAAAGCCUAAAGUAUUGCGUUACCCACCACCUUGAACUUUACGGUUCAAGGCCACAUUGACAGCGGCACUUCCGGGGA
rnacentral:other from 1 species